rnacentral:rRNA from 1 species
UGGGGAAUAUUGGACAAUGGGCGCAAGCCUGAUCCAGCCAUGCCGCGUGAGUGAUGAAGGCCCUAGGGUUGUAAAGCUCUUUCACCGGUGAAGAUAAUGACGGUAACCGGAGAAGAAGCCCCGGCUAACUUCGUGCCAGCAGCCGCGGUAAUACGAAGGGGGCUAGCGUUGUUCGGAUUUACUGGGCGUAAAGCGCACGUAGGCGGACUAUUAAGUCAGGGGUGAAAUCCCGGGGCUCAACCCCGGAACUGCCUUUGAUACUGGUAGUCUUGAGUUCGAGAGAGGUGAGUGGAAUUCCGAGUGUAGAGGUGAAAUUCGUAGGUAUUCGGAGGAACACCAGUGGCGAAGGCGGCUCACUGGCUCGAUACUGACGCUGAGGUGCGAAAGCGUGGGGAGCAAACAGG